GUUUAGAAAAUUAAAAUGUUUAAAUAGAGAGAAGGCAGAGACACCAACAAAAAGCUUUGAAGUUAAUGAUAGUGAAGAGGAGGCAGAUAAUUAUAAAAAUCUUUGCA
rnacentral:lncRNA from 1 species